rnacentral:rRNA from 1 species
GUGGAGGUCCGAACCCACGAGCGUUGAAAAGCUCGGGGAUGACUUGUGGGUAGCGGUGAAAUUCCAAUCGAGCCCGGAGAUAGCUGGUUCUCCCCGAAAUAGCUUUAGGGCUAGCCUCAAGGUGAGAGAUACGGAGGUAGAGCACUGAAUGUCCUAGGGGGUAUUGCACCUACCGAAGACUAUCAAACUCCGAAUGCCGUCAUCUUAUACUUGGGAGUCAGACUGUGGGUGAUAAGAUUCAUAGUCGAAAGGGCAACAGCCCAGAUCGUCAGCUAAGGUCCCUAAAUGUAAGUUAAGUGGUAAAGGAUGUGGGAUUGCACAGACAACCAGGAUGUUGGCUUAGAAGCAGCCACUCAUUCAAAGAGUGCGUAAUAGCUCACUGGUCGAGUGAUCCUGCGCCGAAGAUUUCCGGGGCUAAAACUUACUACCGAAGCUACGGCAUCAGUAAUGAUGGGUAGGGGAGCUUCCCAUACGGGUUGAAGCAUGACCGUAAGGACAUGUGGACAGUAUGGGAGUGAGAAUGUUGGCAUGAGUAGCGAGAUGUGGGUGAGAAUCCCACAGGCCGUAAACCCAAGGUUUCCAGGGGAAGGUUCGUCCGCCCUGGGUUAGUCGGGACCUAAGCUGAGGCCGAAAGGCGUAGGUGAUGGACAACAGGUUGAUAUUCCUGUACUACCGAUAACCGUUUGAGAGAAGGGAUGACACAGUAGGAUAAGCUAAGCACACUGUUGGUUAUGUGUGCCCAAGCAUUGAGGCAGUCAAAGUAGGCAAAUCCGCUUUGAUAAUGCUGGGAUGUGAUGGGGAGCGAAAUUUAGUAGCGAAGUAGCUGAUUUCACACUGUCAAGAAAAGUCUCUAUCGAGGUUAAAGGUACCCGUACCGCAAACCGACACAGGUGGGUGAGGAGAGUAUCCUAAGGCCAGCGAGAGAACUGUUGUUAAGGAACUCGGCAAAAUGACCCCGUAACUUAGGGAUAAGGGGUGCCACCAUCAGGUGGCCGCAGAGAAUAGGCCCAAGCGACUGUUUACCAAAAACAUAGGUUUCUGCUAAGUCGCAAGACGAUGUAUAGGAGCUGACGCCUGCCCGGUGCUGGAAGGUUAAGGGGAUCUGUUAGAGCAAUCGAAGCAGUGAACUUAAGCCCCAGUAAACGGCGGCCGUAACUAUAACGGUCCUAAGGUAGCGAAAUUCCUUGUCGGGUAAGUUCCGACCCGCACGAAAGGCGUAACGAUUUGGGCACUGUCUCAACAACAGACUCGGUGAAAUUGUAAUUCCGGUGAAGAUGCCGGAUACCUGCGACAGGACGGAAAGACCCCAUGGAGCUUUACUGUAGCUUGACAUUGGGUCUUGGUACUACAUGUACAGGAUAGGUGGGAGGCUUUGAAACCAGGACGCCAGUUUUGGCGGAGCCAUCCUUGGGAUACCACCCUUGUAGUACUGGGACUCUAACCAUAGGCCAUGAAUCUGGUCUUGGGACACUGUCAGGUGGGCAGUUUGACUGGGGCGGUCGCCUCCCAAAAGGUAACGGAGGCGCUCAAAGGUUCUCUCAGUACGGUCGGAAAUCGUACGUAGAGUGUAAAGGCAAAAGAGAGCUUGAUUGCAAGACAUACAGGUCGAGCAAGGAUGAAAAUCGGACUUAGUGAUCCGGUGGUUCUGCGUGGAAGGGCCAUCGCUCAACGGAUAAAAGCUACCCUGGGGAUAACAGGCUUAUCUCCCCCAAGAGUCCACAUCGACGGGGAGGUUUGGCACCUCGAUGUCGGCUCAUCACAUCCUGGGGCUGUAGUAGGUCCCAAGGGUUGGGCUGUUCGCCCAUUAAAGUGGUACGCGAGCUGGGUUCAGAACGUCGUGAGACAGUUCGGUCCCUAUCCGUCGCAGGCGUAGGAAAUUUGAGAAGACCUGUCCUUAGUACGAGAGGACCGGGAUGGACGUACCUCUGGUGUACCAGUUGUCCUGCCAAGGGCAUGGCUGGGUAGCUAUGUACGGAAUGGAUAAGCGCUGAAAGCAUCUAAGCGCGAAGCCAACUUCAAGAUAAGAUUUCCCACCGCAAGGGUAAGACCCCAGAAAGACUAUCUGGUUGA